CCGCAGGCACCGGUGCUUCCCCGGCCCGCAUCAUGGUCCUGUCGUGAACGCUUAAAAUAGUGCCUCGAGGGAUCCCAAAACCGCACGUAGACUAGAUUUUUGCCAGAACGUUGUUAUGAUGUUAUCGUUAUCAAAAACAUCUGAAAUACGUCCCCAGGAGGGUUUUCUCUCUGUUAUCUAAGGCACCAGGGAAGCAACUGGUAGGAAAGAUGCAGGUCAUUGUUUGUAUCUACUGACAAGACCCUUCUUGUGGAACGUGAGCACUGACUAAGGGGCUAAAAAGACACAUCAUCCCUUCAAUAUAUUACUCCAUGGUCUGUUGUGGCUGGAGGUUGCACAGCCUGAUUUUCCAGCAGCAGUUGGAGAGCAGUGGAUUUGCAUUUUGAGGCACUGGUUAAUGACAUGCAAGAGGUCCCUCUAAGGUAUGAACAGAAUCCAGUGAAGUAUGGAUGUAUAUCCAAGGUGGUAGAAGAAGGACAGCAUGUCAGAGAGGUCUGUCUGGUCCAGCUGUACUUCUGCCUCUGGGCUAAAUUGGAAAAUAAGAAGAUAAUUGAGUAAAAGUCUUCUUAAGAAAUGUCUAUGAUUACUAGAUUAUUAGGGGAUAGUUUUACCAUCACUGACAAAAUUCAGACACUCAAGACAGCUCCAUAUCCAAUCCUAUUUUCUGUACUUUUGAUAUUACAAAAACCAUCAAAGUCUUUAUAGGUGCUGCUGUAAUGUUACAUCUACUCACCUUGAAAUAAAAGGUCCUAGUACUACAA